rnacentral:rRNA from 1 species
UCCUACGGGAGGCAGCAGUGGGGAAUAUUGCACAAUGGGCGAAAGCCUGAUGCAGCAACGCCGCGUGCGGGAUGAAGGCCUUCGGGUUGUAAACCGCUUUCACCAGGGACGAAGUUGACGGUACCUGGAGAAGAAGCACCGGCUAACUACGUGCCAGCAGCCGCGGUGAUACGUAGGGUGCGAGCGUUGUCCGGAUUUAUUGGGCGUAAAGAGCUCGUAGGCGGUUUGUUGCGUCGGAAGUGAAAACCCAGGGCUUAACUUUGGGCUUGCUUUCGAUACGGGCAGACUUGAGGAAGGUAGGGGAGAACGGAAUUCCUGGUGGAGCGGUGGAAUGCGCAGAUAUCAGGAGGAACACCGGUGGCGAAGGCGGUUCUCUGGACCUUUCCUGACGCUGAGGAGCGAAAGCGUGGGGAGCAAACAGGAUUAGAUACCCUAGUAGUCCU